AUUGAACGCUGGCGGCAGGCCUAACACAUGCAAGUCGAGCGGUAGCACAGAGAGCUUGCUCUCGGGUGACGAGCGGCGGACGGGUGAGUAAUGUCUGGGAAACUGCCUGAUGGAGGGGGAUAACUACUGGAAACGGUAGCUAAUACCGCAUAACGUCGCAAGACCAAAGUGGGGGACCUUCGGGCCUCAUGCCAUCAGAUGUGCCCAGAUGGGAUUAGCUGGUAGGUGGGGUAACGGCUCACCUAGGCGACGAUCCCUAGCUGGUCUGAGAGGAUGACCAGCCACACUGGAACUGAGACACGGUCCAGACUCCUACGGGAGGCAGCAGUGGGGAAUAUUGCACAAUGGGCGCAAGCCUGAUGCAGCCAUGCCGCGUGUGUGAAGAAGGCCUUCGGGUUGUAAAGCACUCUCAGCGGGGAGGAAGGCGAUAAGGUUAAUAACCUUGUCGAUUGACGUUACCCGCAGAA
rnacentral:rRNA from 1 species